AUUCAAUAUUUUUCUUAAAACGACAUUCGUAUGCCAAAACCUUCGGUUUCUUUUUACGCGAACCUAGAAACCUUUUCUUCUUCAAUCUCAAAUUCUCCCACACCCAAAACCUAUCACCCAAUCAAAAACCCUUACUCUUUUCUUCCAUAGUCACUCAAUCUCACUCAUUGAAACCCUAAAACCCAGAAGCUCAACUCGUUUAAACCAGAACCCAGAACUCGUUAAAACCCUAAAACCAUCUGCCCCAUCGUUCUAGAGUUCGUUGAACCCAGAAACUCUUCAUCGUGUUUGCAUCGUUCACCAUUAUUCAUCGCAAUUGAACCUCGUCUCGGUCAUAAGGAAUGCAAGCUUUCAAUUUUUGUGCUUUUCUAAUGUCUUGAAAAUAAAAUUCCAUUGAAAGAUGGUGAAUUGGAGAGUUCACACUUCACACAUAAUGGGCUAAUAAGAGGGAUUAUAUCAAAUCUUGUCCAAUUCACGUCCACAUACCUUCGAGUUCAACAAUUGUCCUAAUCCCUUUGAUUUUGACACUCAAUCGCUGCUUCUAAUAGAGAGACCGCGACGAAUCCUAAUCUCACGAUUCAACUUCCAAUCGUAGCAAUUGUGAGACCACAAUGAACCCUAAUCUCACUCCUCAGUGAUUUCUGCAAAAUCUCUUCAAUCCAUCUCUUUUGCAAUUUCUUGUUUUGUCCAUUUGAGUUUGCAAUUGCACCGAAGGUGGAGGAUAAUAUCGGCGCUGUUCCACAUGGACUUUCAAUAGAUUCAAAUGUGGUUAAGAGGGAAUUGGAAUCGUUCAUUCGUUCUCGAAGAGAUUGCAUCGGAGUAACACAAAGAAGUUUGAGUUUCAAGCGGAAGUGUCAAGACUUAUUUCAAAUGCUUCUAGUGCAUUGGACAAGAUUAGGUUCCUUUCCCUCACUGACAAGGAGAUUUUAGGUGAAGGUGACAACGCCAAGCUUGAAAUCCAGGUUAUCAUUUCUAAAUAUUUAAUUUAAGCAUCUAUUUAUAUCAUUAGAUUAGUUAAUUAGUUUAUUUUCCUAUAUUUGUUUUGUUAAUUUAUGAUGAAUACCUAAGAAAGGGUUAUAGUUAAUUGUUUUUUUAGUGGUUUAUUUCGUAUAAUUAAACCGUGUUACGUACUGUUACAGAUUAAGUUAGAUAAAGAAAAGAAAAUUCUAUAUAUUUGAGACAAAGGUAUUGGUAUGACAAAGGAGGAUUUAGUAAAGAAUUUGGGUACCAUAGCAAAGUCUGGAACUUCAGUUAUGUAUAUAUAACUUUUGGGAGUUUGCUGUAAUGAUUGCUGCCAGUAAUUUAGUGUGGAAGAUUUUAUAUGGAACUAUGUUUGCUUGCAGUCUUUGUUGAGAAAAUGCAGACAAGUGGUGAUCUCAAUUUAAUUGGAAAAUUUGGAGUUGUGGAUUCUUCUUUGUCUAUCUUGUGGCUGACUAUGUUGAAGUUAUUUAAUCCCAAUUUACCGAUUUUGGAACUAUGUAAUGAUUGUUUGACUUUCAGGUUUGAUGGGAAUCAAAAGCUGAUGGAGCAUUUUGCAGUUAUUUGACGUUCCGUUUAGUUUAGGUUGAAGAUUUCGUUAAUGCAUCUGAAAAGUAUAUCUCUGUUUAUAUAUGUGCCUUUUCUAUAAUUUUAAACCAUUUGUGAUGCGAUAUAAAAUGAAGGACAUUGCCAAUAGUAGAAGCUAUCUAAUGUAAUUAUCUAUUAGAAGUCAUCAAAUUACUUCCAAAUUUGUGGGCUUUCAUUGUAAUUGCUUCAUAUACUUGUUGGAAUGUCCAUGUUUUUACAUAAAACAUAUAACGGUUCAUUGUAGAAGUCACUUCCACAUACUUGUCAUUGUCAUAUACUAGCUUGUUAGGAUUACUUUCUCUGAUGUUCAACUGUCUUCAUUAUUCGUUGUUCAAUCUGAAGCUGGAGCAUUUCUAUUCUUGCAGGUCAGCAUGACGCUGAAUAUUAUAAAAAUAAGUGGUUUCUUAUUUGGUAUUUUUGCAACUAAUAAAGUUUCAUUGCAAAUGCCUAUUAUUUCUUAUUUGGUAUUUAUGCAUUGUGUCUUGGUAGGGAUUGAAAGAUGGUACUAAGAAAUAGAGUAUGAGAGAAUUAGUGAGAAGAAAGUUUUGUCUACUUCUACUAAGAUUUUACAAGUUGAAUGAAGGAAUGCUCUUUCUUUGAUAUAAUUUGACCUGCUCAAAAUUCUUCUUUUAAUGGAAAUGGACACAAGAUAGAGGAAGUGGGAUAUUAUGUGUUGUUAUAUCUCUUAGUAUUGUUAUAUCUUAGUAUUUUAGAGGCAUAUUGGCUGUAUGUUCUAGUUUUUGUAUUGUUAUAUCUUGGUUAUCUUUUUGAUUGAUUAUAUAUAUGUAUUUUUGGAUAAA